rnacentral:rRNA from 1 species
AGUGAACGCUAGCGGUAGGCCUAACACAUGCAAGUCGAACGGCAGCACAGGAGAGCUUGCUCUCUGGGUGGCGAGUGGCGGACGGGUGAGGAAUACAUCGGAAUCUACUCUGUCGUGGGGGGUAACGUAGGGAAACUUAGGCUAAUACCGCAUACGACCGACGGGUGAAAGCAGGGGACUGUCGGACCUGCCGCGGUUGAAUGCGCCGAUGUCGGAAUAGCUAGUUGGGGGGGUAAAGGCCCAACAAGGCGACGAUCCGUAGCUGGUAUGAGAGGAUGAUCAGCCACACUGGAACUGAGACACGGUCCAGACUCCUACGGGAGGCAGCAGUGGGGAAUAUUGGACAAUGGGCGCAAGCCUGAUCCAGACAUACCGCGUGGGUGAAGAAGGCCUUCGGGUUGUAAAGCCCUUUUGUUGGGAAAGAAAUCCAGCUGGCUAAUACCCGGUUGGGAUGACGGUACCCAAAGAAUAAGCACCGGCUAACUUCGUGCCAGCCGCCGCAGUA